AUCUUAAACCUAUCUGUCGUCGUACGACCUGUGUAUUCAAGCCUAUUAUUUCACCUAAGUUAGUUUCCUGCAUUUCAGCUUCGAAGUUCAUGUCCUGAAGUUAUGUCUAACUGUUCAUGGAACGACAAAAGUUUUGACUGUUGCACCUACUUCAGACCUAUGGAAACGGAAUUUGGUAUUUGUUUUGUUAUAAACACUAUACAAGGCAGCUCAUCACACAAUCAACGGCACGAUGAUCCCUGGCAUGGAAAGUAUGGUACUACACGCAUUCAGGACAACAAGUUUGCAUUGAAUAGUAAUAUUGCCUUGGAGAAGACUUCGAAAUAAAUUUUUCAUAAAUAGAAAACAAAGACAUGUAUCAAUGCACAAUGUACACUUUUUCCGACCAUUAGGUAUCUGACCAAGCAUUAAAAUGAAACAAGAUGA